rnacentral:lncRNA from 10 species
CACAGGUUUGGUUCUUUCUGGGGGCUCUGAAGGAGAAUUAUUCCAUGCCUCUCUCCUAGCUUCUGGUGAUGGCCAGCAAUCUUUGGCAUUUCUUGGCUUAUAGUUGCAUCAUUUGGAUCUCUGCCUCCAUUGUGACAUGGCAUUUUCCUGUGUCUCUGUCUCUUCACAUAGUGUUCUUUUUAUUAGGUCACCAGCCUUAUUGAAUGAAGGACACACCCUAUUUCAGUAUGACCUCAUCUUAACUAAUUAUAUCUGCAAUUAUUAUAUUUCCAAAUAAGGUCAUAUUCUGAGGUAAUGUUAGGUUAAGACUUCAGUGUAUCUUUUUGUGGAGAAAUACAAUUCAACCCAUAACAUUUUUGACACACCAAAACAGAGAAAAUAUUUGAGAAAUAGAGUUUAUAAGAUUUGGUGACUGAUUGGAUAUGAAAGUGAAAAGGGAAUUAAAGAUUGAACUUCUGAGCCUGGGGGAAUUCUGUCUAGCAAAAAUAAAGAAGGCCUUGAAAGAGGGAGAACUAAGUUCAAGGUGUCAGCUCCUGGAUACCCAAGUCAAUAUGGCAGCUGGAAAUGUAAUUCUGGUGCCUAAUAGAUCAUGUAGGAAUGAAGAUAACAAUUAGAGAAUGAUCCAUAUGCGUUUACUAGCUAACGGUGGC